GCCACUCAAGAUCGCAAUUGAGCAACCAACACUAAAAUAAUGGCGGAGAUGGGAAGUGGAAUUGGAAGCAAAACAGUGGCAGUAGCAGUAAUGCUGGUGGUGCUGGUGGGACUAGGAUGCCCUGAAUGGUCAAGGGCUAUGAGCUUGUGUAACAUGGACGAGAAGGGACUAAUGGCAUGCAAGCCAUCAGUGACACCACCACCGCCCGACCCGGUCGAUCCCACCUCCGAUUGUUGCGAUGCCCUCAAAGGGGCGGACUUGAAAUGCUUGUGUUCUUAUAAGAACUCCUUCACGUUGCCCUCUCUUGGGAUUGAUCCUGACCUUGCCUUGGCACUCCCAUCCAAAUGCAACCUCGCCCUUCCUCCAGAUUGUUAAAAGGUACGUACGAGGAGUAUACAUGCUGGCAAUGGCCUUCAUUAUAUGGAUCACAUAUAGUUAAUUGGUUGAGAGCUGGGACUGCAGUUUUAUGGAGUAGUACUGUUUUAAUUAGCAUCGUCGUUGUACGUAUAUGGUUUGUAAUAGCAACCUGAAUUAUAGCCGAAUCAGCAUGGAAGUCUGAAGAUCCCUAUUGUGGUGUUUGUUGUGUGGUGUAAGAAUUAAUUCCUCUCUUUUAAGUCUUUGACCACGCUUAUUCUGAAACAUGAAAUCUGCGGCAGGGCAAAUGCAUGAAAUGAAUGCCUCUUUGGGUAAAGCUUACAGGGUAAACAUACAAGAUUAGAGUCGGUUAAACCUGUUUACGUAAUAGUUAUUAUGUCUACGGAGUAGAAUAAAUGAGACUUAACAUUACGAGAUGCUAAAGUAUUGUCA